UAUCUACUUCCUCCGUCCCAAAAUUCUUUUCUUAGGAUUGUUUAAAAAUGAAUGAAUUAGAAUACUAAAACGUGACUAGAUACAUUUAUAUCUAGACAAAUCUAAGACAACAAUUUUGGGACGGAGGGAGUAUUAG
rfam:Hordeum vulgare subsp. vulgare, WGS project CAJW01000000 data, contig: morex_contig_94042